GAGUUUGAUCUUGGCUCAGAUUGAACGCUGGCGGCAUGCCUUACACAUGCAAGUCGAACGGCAGCACGGGAGCUUGCUCCUGGUGGCGAGUGGCGAACGGGUGAGUAAUGCAUCGGAACGUAUCCUGGAGUGGGGGAUAACGUAGCGAAAGUUACGCUAAUACCGCAUAUUCUGUGAGCAGGAAAGCGGGGGACCUUCGGGCCUCGCGCUCUUGGAGCGGCCGAUGUCGGAUUAGCUAGUUGGUGAGGUAAAGGCUCACCAAGGCGACGAUCCGUAGCAGGUCUGAGAGGAUGAUCUGCCACACUGGAACUGAGACACGGUCCAGACUCCUACGGGAGGCAGCAGUGGGGAAUUUUGGACAAUGGGGGCAACCCGUGAUCCAGCCAUGCCGCGUGAGUGAAGAAGGCC
rnacentral:rRNA from 2 species